CUGCAUCCACUGCUAGACCUUCAACAGUUGAUGGCUGUUCUUCCGGUUUGCCCUGGGAUGUAAAUGAAUGCCCCUUGUGCUUUCUGCCUGCCUUUGUAAUCAAGACUGAUGUGGGCAGUACAUUU